rnacentral:snoRNA from 1 species
CCCCCUGGUCCCAGAUGCAGCCCCCAAUGCACUUGCGAUAUUUUCAUUAUAUGAUUGGGCCCUAUGGCUUGUAGUCCCACUGGCCCUGGCCCAGAUCCUGAGAGAACUGAGAAAACAUGACAGGGGAAGUGGGGCUAGGUAACCAUGGG